rnacentral:lncRNA from 1 species
GACACUUCAACAAAAGGAGAUCUGUCACCAUUCAAUAGUGCUAGAAAUAAGAAGUCUUGUCAAAGGGAAAGAAGUUGGGACGGCAGGGUGAUCGAAGACGUCAACACAAGGAGGCCUCCAAUGCGAAAUGCAAAACAAAAACAGGUCGCUCAAACAAUACUUUUGAAAUCCAACCGCCUGAAGAAUAAAGUAUGAUUUUUGAAGACUUUUUGAAAAAUUAUGUGGAAGAAGACAACAUUUUACAAAUCGAAACAUUCACAACAAAAGAGAAAAAAGGGCACCUUUAUGGUUUCUUCAUCUGUUUAUUUUACCAUCACAUUAGUAUUAUUCUAUGUAAUAUCGGAAGAAGACAACAUUUUUACAAAUUGAAACUUUCACAACUAAAGAGAAAAAAGGGCACCUUUAUGGUUUCUUCAUCUGUUUAUUUUACCAUCACAUUAGUAUUAUUCUAUGUAAUAUCAUCACAGAGCAUGUUAUAAACUCUGUGAUGAUCAGUCAAUUCUUACUUCUUGCGAGUUCUUUCUUUUUACAUGCUUGCUAGUCCGGGAGGCUUUUUGCCUCAAUAGGAUAGCUAAGGUAAGGUCUAUGCCGGCUGUGUUAUAUGGGUAGGUUUUUAUUUGCCUCAAUAGGAUAGCAAAGGUAAGGUCUACGCCGGCUGUGUUAUAUGGGUAACAUUACUGGUGUAAUCCGCCUUAUUUUAUUUCUCCUAUUUGUUGUAAUUUUCCUUUUCCUAUUAAUUAUAAAACCUAACCUUAGGCGAUUGCCUAGUGGACCAAAAAAAAUAAUAAUAGUAAAACUGUGGUGGAUCAGAAUCUAUGUAUGUGGUAAGGCUUCCAUUGAGAAUAGUUAAAGAUAGCAAACCUUGACUCUGAUUGGUUGCUGAAACUCUUGCGAUGAGCUUCCGCCCAGAAACUAAAGUCUGCCCCGGGAGCAAAGAAUCCGUAGGAUGAUCAAAAGAUUUCCAAAUUUUGCGAUUGGUUUCAUCAAAGAGCACGAGAUUCUCCGUUUCUGUCAAGUUUAAGCCUGAAACAGAUUUUCCAGUUGUAUUUGUAG